AAGUCUGACCCCCCGAAACUAGGCGAGCUACUCUAAAACAGCCACAGAACUAACCCAUCCCUGUUACAAAAGGGUGGGGUGAUUUUAAAGUAGAGGUGACACACCUAUCGAGCUUAGAGAUAGCUGGUUAUUCAAAAGACGGAUAUGAGUCCAACUUUAAGCUUCCCUUAGUAGUACUAAACACUCACAAGCUUAAAAGCCAUUCAAAUAAGGUACAGCCUAUUUGAACAAGGAAACAACCUACAACACAGGGUAAUGAUAAUAUACAUGACCAAGUGGGCCUAAGAGCAGCCAACUUUCAAAAAGCGUCUAAGCAUCAUCACAACAUAUUCCAUAAUUCCACAAUUUACCCAAAACCCACAUCUACUACUGAAUGACCCCAUACCUGUAUGGUGAACAUUAUGCUAGAACUAGUAACAAGAAGAUGAACUUCUCCAAAAUGCAAGCGUAAGCCAA
rnacentral:rRNA from 1 species